rnacentral:rRNA from 1 species
UACGUAGGGUGCGAGCGUUAAUCGGAAUUACUGGGCGUAAAGCGUGCGCAGGCGGUCCGCUAAGACAGGUGUGAAAUCCCUGGGCUCAACCUAGGAAUUGCGCUUGUGACUGGCGGGCUAGAGUCCGGUAGUGGGGGGUGGAAUUCCUGGUGUAGCAGUGAAAUGCGUAGAGAUCAGGAGGAACACCGAUGGCGAAGGCAGCCCCCUGGGCCUGUACUGACGCUCAGGCAAGAAAGCGUGGGGAGCAAACAGG